rnacentral:rRNA from 1 species
CGAGUGAAGCGGGAAUAGCUCAAUUUGAAAUCUCCAAGGGCAACCUUGGCGAAUUGUAGUUUAGAGAAGUGUCUGCUGUUGUAGAACGCCGUCCAAGUUCUUUGGAACGAGACAUCAGAGAGGGUGAGAAUCCCGUAUCUGACGGCGAGUUGUUCUAUGGCUGUACGGGACAUUUUCCAAGAGUCGGGUUGUUUGGGAAUGCAGCCCAAAAUGGGUGGUAAAUUUCAUCUAAAGCUAAAUAUGGGCACGAGACCGAUAGCGAACAAGUACCGUGGGAAAGAUGAAAAGCACUUUGAAAAGAGAGUUAAAUAGCACGUGAAGCCGUUAAAAUGGAAACGAUUAAAGUCAGCAGUGCUGUAUGGGUAAUCAAUCCAGGGGCUGUUAGCAUGGUGUUUUUGGACGGCUGAGUUACUAUUUCACGAUAGUGGCUUGAUGCCAAGGGUGCUAGAGUUGGCGGCUGAUUAUAAAAUACAUUGUCUGAUGUUGACGAAAUGGCUUUAACCGACCCGUCUUGAAACACGGACCAAGGAGUCUAACAUAUGCGCGAGUCUUAGGGUGGCAAACCCAGUGGAGGCGUAAUGAAAGUAAAGGUAGUCUUGGACUAUUGAGGUGAGAGCUUGGGGUUCAACUCCUUGCGCAUCAUCGACCGAUCUGGAUUUUCUUUGAAAGAUUUGAGUAAGAGCGUAUCUGUUAGGACCCGAAAGAUGGUGAACUAUGCCUGGAUAGGGUGAAGCCAGAGGAAACUCUGGUGGAGGCUCGUAGCGGUUCUGACGUGCAAAUCGAUCGUCAAAUUUGGGUAUAGGGGCGAAAGACUAAUCGAACCAUCUAGUAGCUGGUUCCCACCGAAGUUUCCCUCAGGAUAGCUGGAACUUGUAACACACAGUUUUAUCGGGUAAAGCGAAUGAUUAGAGGNCUUAGGGUUGAAACAACCUUUACCUAUUCUCAAACUUUAAAUAGGUAAGAAGUUUAACUUGCUUGAACAUUUUCAAUGAAGUUGGACAUUCUGAAUGUGGAGUUCCUAGUGGGCCAUUUUUGGUAAGCAGAACUGGCGAUGCGGGAUGAACCGAACGUAAAGUUAAGGUGCCUAAAUCAACGUUCAUCAGACCCCACAAAAGGUGUUGGUUGAUCUAGACAGCAGGACGGUGGCCAUGGAAGUCGGAAUCCGCUAAGGAGUGUGUAACAACUCACCUGCCGAAUCAACUAGCCCUGAAAAUGGAUGGCGCUUAAACGUUGUACCUAUACAUUACCGCCGACCAGCAAAUGCGAUGCUGCGGCGAGUAGGUGGGCGCGGGGGUGGUGGCUAAGCCUAGGACGUGAGUCUGGGUGGAACUGCCCUUGGUGCAGAUCUUGGUGGUAGUAGCAAAUAUUGGCUGAUGCUAUAACCUCGCCUUAUCGAAAGGGAAUCAGGUUAAUAUUCCUGAACCAGAAUUCGGAUAUUUGUUAUCAAGGGUAACACUUUGGUAGCAACUUUGUUGUAUAGGGGAGACCUUGUGCAGCAAGGAUUAUGCGGCAACGCAAACAAACUCGGAGACGCUGGCAGGAGCCCUGGGAAGAGUUCUCUUUUCUUUUUAACAUGUCUUCAAAGUUUUUCUGAAUGCCAUGGAAUCAGAUUAUCUGGAGAAAUGGCAUGAAGCAUGGAAAAGCAUCACAUUUCAGGUGAUGUCCGGUGCGCUCUUGACGGCCCUUGAAAAUCCGAGGGAGAGAAUAAUUUUCGAUUCUGGUCGUACUGAUAACCGCAGCAGGUCUCCAAGGUGAACAGCCUCUAGNUGAUAGAACAAGU